rnacentral:tRNA from 1 species
GCCUCAGUAGCUCAGUGGUGAGAGCACUUCAUUGGUAAUGAAGAGGUCCUGAGUUCAAAUCUCAGCUGAGGCU